CCCUCUGCAGGAAGGAUGUGAGGCUGGAGGGGAAGAGGAGGAGUUGAGGCACUGGGGAUGGUCUCCAGGUCUAAAGAGAAUUUCACCCUUCAAACCAUUGCACGGUUGACCUGCAGAAUGAGAUCACCCUGGCUGUUAGCAGUUGCAGUGCUUCUUUAUGCCUGGUGAUUUCUGUUUCCACGUGCCCAGCUCCCAGAAGGUGUGACUUGCAUGGGAAAUCCUGUUUCACCCCAGGGAUGCGGGCAGACAGAGUUUGUCAUUGCCAGGGAGAAAACGUGGCUGUGUCUGAACCACCAGGAGGACAGACGGACACGUGCAUGCCAGGGAAGGGGGACUUAUGCUGAUGGUGAGAAUCGGCGCUAUCUUUCUAAAGGCAAGAGCAGUUACAGACCCACUGUUCAUUACUUUGGAUGUGUCACAUUUGCUAGUAUGACAAGAUGUAUUAUGGACGAGGAAUUUUACAGAUGGAGAGAAACAUCCAUCGGUCGGACAGAAAUUUCAAGCAACAGUUCUUGGAAACCAUAUGGGGAUCAGCCUGGGAGUUCUGCAAGCUCUCCCAUGUAUUCCUGCAUACGUGCUAUGAUUUUUAUUGUCUGAACUCUAGUGGAUAAUUGAAGAAAAACUAUAUGGAAUUACAAAGGCUGUUUCCCAGCGCUCUGUUUUACAUACACACGCUAUAAAUACACGAUUUAACAUUCGCACACUUGAUUUUUCUUGCUUCUAUUAAAAAUGACGACAAGAUUUUAAAACAAAUGCAUUGUGCUGUAGCUUAAACAAAGAAUGGGACUGCGGGUCUCUUGCCCCCUCUGAACUCAGCAGUACUUUGUUGAUCAAACUUUACACAAAAACGGCUUCACCAUCACGUAUCUUGAACUGCUUGACUUCUCUCCACUUCCUAUACUGCAAACUGAAAUGGUAAAGCUGCUGUUGUUUGCCAUAACACAAGUUCAGGAUUGGACGUGCUCUGUACACUGGGCUCUCUUUUUGUGCUGGCGUCGUCAUGGGGGUCGAUGGAGAUCUAAGAGGGUAUUAAAAAGUGGUGAUUGUUGCAUGUGUUCCUCGCUUUCCGACAUCAAUCUCCUUCUGUAAAGGCAAGUUUAAUAACAGGCGUUUGUUGUACCGAAGUACUUCUAAAUGAACGGGUGAAGAUAAUCACAUGGUGAGGGCUGUCUUCUUCGGCCUGCAUGAUAACACUCCACUCAGGCCCUGGGACCGGACCGAGGUAAACUGACAUAGGGAUUAACUGACAAUAGCAAAGGCUAAUUUACAGAAACCACAUGAGGAGUUCCUGAGCACAGCCCAGAUAACAAAAAUAUUAUCAACACUGUUUACAGUGAAGUAAGUCAGUUUAUUAGUUGGAGUGCUUCAUUAUGUAUAAAAGAUGCCAAUGAUAGUCUCCUAGUCAAAAUAAACAGGCAUAAAGUGUUCCGCGUAUACA
rnacentral:lncRNA from 1 species